rnacentral:rRNA from 1 species
GACGAACCGUGCAAACGUUGUUCGGAAUCACUGGGCAUAAAGGGCGCGUAGGCGGCCCGACCAGUCUGCGGUGAAAGCCCCCCGCUCAACGGGGGAAGGGCCGUGGAUACUGUCGGGCUGGAGUCCGGAAGAGGCGAGUGGAAUUCCUGGUGUAGCGGUGAAAUGCGCAGAUAUCAGGAGGAACACCAAUGGCGAAGGCAGCUCGCUGGGACGGUACUGACGCUGAGACGCGAAAGCGUGGGGAGCAAACAGG